AUUGUGGUUUAAUUCGAUGAUACGCGAGGAACCUUACCUGGGCUAGAACGCCGGACGCAUGUGGGGAAACCCUACAGCCGCAAGGGCGGCCGGCGAGGCGCUGCAUGGUUGUCGUCAGCUCGUGCCGUGAGGUGUCGGGUUAAGUCCCAUAACGAGCGCAACCCCUACCGUUAGUUGCCAGCGGGUCAAGCCGGGAACUCUAACGGAACUGCCAGCGUAAGCUGUGAGGAAGGCGGGGAUGACGUCAAAUCAGCACGGCCCUUACGUCCAGGGCUACACACGUGUUACAAUGGCCGGUACAGAGGGCAGCCACCCCGCGAGGGGGCGCGAAUCCCGAAAGCCGGUCGCAGUUCGGAUCGGAGUCUGGAACCCGACUCCGUGAAGCUGGAUUCGCUAGUAAUCGCGCAUCAGCCAUGGCGCGGUGAAUACGUUCCCGGGCCUU
rnacentral:rRNA from 1 species